UACGGGGGGGGGCAAGCGUUGUUCGGAUUUACUGGGCGUAAAGGGCGCGUAGGCGGCGCGACGAGUCACUUGUGAAAUCUCCGGGCUUAACCCGGAGCGGCCAAGUGAUACUGUCGUGCUGGAGUGCGGAAGGGGCCACCGGAAUUCUCGGUGUAGCGGUGAAAUGCGUAGAUAUCGAGAGGAACACCUGCGGCGAAGGCGGGUGGCUGGGCCGACACUGACGCUGAGGCGCGAAAGCCAGGGGAGCGAACGGG
rnacentral:rRNA from 1 species